rnacentral:rRNA from 1 species
AUAUCAAUAAGCGGAGGAAAAGAAUAUAACAAUGAUUCCCCUAGUAACUGCGAGUGAAGAGGGACAAGCUCAAAAUUUUAAAUCCAUCGGGUUUUACCUGAUCGAGUUGUAAUUUGAAGAAGCGUUUUCUGCGUAUUUGAUCAUCCUAAGUCCUAUUGAAUGAGGCAUCAUGGAGGGUGAUAAUCCCGUCCGGUUGAUCAUUUGCGUUUUACGAUACGCUUUCUAAGAGUCAAGUUGUUUGGGAUUGCAGCUUAAAAUGGGAGGUAAAUUUCUCCUAAGGCUAAAUAACGGCGAGAGACCGAUAGCGAACAAGUACCGUGAGGGAAAGAUGAAAAGAACUUUGAAAAGAGAGUUAAACAGUAC